rnacentral:lncRNA from 1 species
UUAUUAAUCAUGCAUGGUAGGAUAUAAUUUGACAAAAUUGAUACCAUCAUGAUAUGAAACAUUUAUGAUUUGCAAUUAUGCAUGCAAUACUUGUGCUUUCUAAUUAUGAUGUGAUGUAUUGCAAAUGAUGUAAAUCAUGAUGAGUGCUAAGUUACACAUUUUGAGAAGAAAUUGCUAUAUUGAAACAUUAAUGUAAUUAUGAAUGAUGAUAUGAUAUUAUGCAUGUAAUACUUCAACUUAUGAUAAUG